GGAUGUGAGGGGGAUCUGGCUGCAAUAUAUGUCACCCCAUUGAUCACCAAGGUUGAUUUAACUGAUCUGUCUGGCUAGGCGAGUGUCCCCUUCCUCACUGCUCCAUCCCUUUUGAAGCUGCAUGCUUGGUGGAAAAGGAUGACCAUUCCAGGCAGAAGGAUCUCCAGUCAAGAGGAUAUAAUCUCCAGUCAAGAGGAUAUAAUACCUGUGCUCCCAUGCUAGAACCUCUGAACAAACUCAAGUUUCUUUAAAAAUUAUACUGAGAAAACUACAGAAUUCUGUAGAGAUUCUCAGUCAUCCAGNNNAUGG
rnacentral:snRNA from 1 species